rnacentral:rRNA from 1 species
UACGUAGGGUGCGAGCGUUGUCCGGAAUUAUUGGGCGUAAAGAGCUUGUAGGCGGUUUGUCGCGUCUGCUGUGAAAAUCCAGGGCUCAACCCCGGACUUGCAGUGGGUACGGGCAGACUAGAGUGUGGUAGGGGAGACUGGAAUUCCUGGUGUAGCGGUGAAAUGCGCAGAUAUCAGGAGGAACACCGAUGGCGAAGGCAGGUCUCUGGGCCACUACUGACGCUGAGAAGCGAAAGCGUGGGGAGCGAACAGG